rnacentral:rRNA from 1 species
AAGACCGUGAAACCGCUCAGAGUAUAAGCCCAUGGCAGCUUGGAAGGCAUAUCGCUAGCGGGGCAUCGGUCUCCCUUCGCGGGGAGUCGGUGUUACCUUGCUUCUGUUGUGGCUCGUCAAGGUAGGGGGGUCAGGUCCACAUCCCGCCGCCGUGUGGGGAGUUUCUGGGCGUGUCGUUGCUUUGCGGUCGACUUCGGUUGGCCGUAGGGCUCUUCGCGCUUGGGGCUUCUUUAGACACGGACGUUCAUACUCAGUUGCAAGACGCGAUAACCAGCCCACCACGGCACGUUGUGAGGUCACCCACAGGCUCAGCUUUUGAUUGUUGUCCUUGACGCCGAGCAAGCACAAUGCGUGUCGCAGAUGUUCCUAACCUGGCAAUGCAUGUCGGACAGUGGAACGACACGCGCUCAACAGUCAGGACCGGGCGAUGACAGAGUUCUGGUUUGAUCCUCUUGUGACGAGCCGGCUUCUGGCCGAUUUCUGAUGCUCAUCUCCCGCAUGUGCCGCGGGAGAUCGCCUUGACGGUCUGGACCUUCACAAGUCCUCUCAGUCGGGCAACG